AACGAACGCUGGCGGCAUGCCUAACACAUGCAAGUCGAACGAGACCUUCGGGUCUAGUGGCGCACGGGUGCGUAACGCGUGGGAACCUGCCCUUAGGUUCGGAAUAACUCCCCGAAAGGGGUGCUAAUACCGGAUAAUGUCUUCGGACCAAAGAUUUAUCGCCUUUGGAUGGGCCCGCGUUGGAUUAGCUAGUUGGUAGGGUAAAAGCCUACCAGGGCGACGAUCCAUAGCUGGUCUGAGAGGAUGGGCAGCCACACUGGGACUGAGACACGGCCCAGACUCCUACGGGAGGCAGCAGUGGGGAAUAUUGGACAAUGGGCGAAAGCCUGAUCCAGCAAUGCCGCGUGAGUGAUGAAGGCCUUAGGGUUGUAAAGCUCUUUUACCCGGGAUGAUAAUGACGGUACCGGGAGAAUAAGCUCCGGCUAACUCCGUG
rnacentral:rRNA from 1 species